GGGGGCUGCGCGCCUGUCCGUGCACGAACGUCUGGUUGCGGGGUUGUGUGCAGAAACAGAGGAACUGGAACGCGGUUAUCUGCGCACGCUUGGUGCUCUCUCUCUGCUGUCGGUGUUGGGCUCUUGUCAGUAGCAGACUCUGUGCUCCUGGGGGCAGCAUCGCUUCGUGCUCGUUAUGCCCUUACACCUGGGGUAACUGGUGCCUUGUCCGUCGCGUUCUUUUAGCUUUUAACGUAAGGAACGCUCGAUGGACACGGAAGGUCCUCGCUCUGUGAUGCAACUUGAUAGACGCUCCCAGGGCAGGUGCUGCUUUAAGGUGAAAGAAGAGGACCAUGUGGCUGCAUUUAGGUUGUGCUCUUCUGUCUUCUCUGACCUCAAUUCCAACCUUACGUGGCUGUCUCACAGGACUUCAAGUAUCAGGGCAGGUGACAUUAGCAGGGUGUGCCUACUGCCCACGGGAUUAAUGAGGUCAGGUCCCAUAGUCUGUUUCCUGGUGCUGUCUCCAUUGUAGAUGAACUCAAACAGUGGCCUUUCCAAGCACUGCUUAUCCCGUCAGGGCUCUUUGACAUCGAUGGCUUUGCUGACUUGAAUGCUUUGCACAUCCAUCAUUGCUAUGGCUUAAAGCUUGGCAAUGUGGCAGUAGGUUUUCUUCUAGAGCAAUGAACUUACCAACUCGUCUUUACAUUACUUGUCAACUUGAAUUUCAUCUGUUUGCACUGAGAUUUUGGUUUCCACCUAAGGCACAUAUUCGUAACUGUAUGUUUUCUGACAAAAACUCUCAGGCAUUGUUUACACACCAUCUCAGAAAGGUGACAAAAUCUGCACUGCUCUGAAUGGAAGCAUUGCCCAGCGUCUUUGCUGGUGUUUGCGUGGGGUGUCUCAAAGCUAUUGGGCAGCUUGACAGGCAUGUAGUUUUGUUGCAAGAGAUCUGAAUCAGAGAUUAUUGCUGAUAUACGGGAAGUUUACCAGUGGAAAUGCUGUUUAGGGGGUUUACAUGAAAGCUACAUGUCUCACAGGAAAAAAAGCACGCAUGAAAAGAAAGAAGGUCUGUAACACUGGAGAAGACUUCUGGUAUCUGGCUUGGCGUACAUGGCAGGAAUAUAAGAGCUGACAAAAUUCACAUAGGCAGUAAUCCAGUCAUCAACUCUCUGCCCAAGAAGAAUCCUCAUUCACCUUACACUUGUCUGUAUGUACAAGUAUCUAUGUAUCUAUGAGGGUUACAAGAAAUGGAAAAAGCAAGUUCUGCAAGUACUUUUUUAUAAGGAUUUGGGAGAUUUGUAUAAGAUAAAUACUGUUUCACUAAAGUAACUUCUGAAGAGUUUGCGUUCCUUCCUCUCAUUCCACCUCUGUGAGGGUGCCUAGUGAUAAAGCAAGGGGGAAUGGUUUUAAAUGCGGGGGAGGUUUAGGUUAGAUAGUAGGAGGAAGUUUUUCACACAGAGGGUGGUGAGGCACUGGAACAGGUUGCCCAAGGAGGCUGUGGAUGCCCCAUCCCUGGAGGCAUUCAAGGCCAGGCUGGAUGUGGCUCUGGACAGCCUGGUCUGGUGGUUGGCGACCCUGCACAUAGCAGGGGGGUUGAAACUAGAUGGUCCCUUUCAACCCAGGCCAUUCUAUGAUUCUAUGAUUUCUUAUGUGGUGUGUAAGCAAGUAAAUGUACUCUCUUUGC
ensembl:lncRNA